GUGAAUAGAGUCAGUCAGCAAGAGGCGCUGGGGAGAGAGCUGGGACUGCGAACCCGGCGGAUGCGGCAGCGGCGGAGGGCGGCUGGGGAGACGCUACUCCAACUGUUGAAUUUUCACCUUUCAUUUCCUCCGAUGCUUUGCUUGCGGAGAUGGAUUUAUUUGCUUUGAAAUCCGCACGUCUUUCGCAGGCUAUGAGCUGAUCCUGACAGGCACCAGAUUAAAAGCGACCACCCGUGACAGAAAAGGAGGAAAAAAAAAAAAAAAACCCUCCACAACGGACUGCACAAUUAACUAUGCACACCGGUGCUGGACUUUGUGAAUAGAGAACAUUGAGAGGAAAAUCAUGAACUAUGAUGCGGGGCUAAGCUGUGAGCAGUCACUGGAAUCCUGAUAUUUUUUUUCUUUUUCUUUUUUUUUUUUCAAGACUCUGAAAGAUUUGGGGGUUCCUCACGCCUCGUCAAAAGGAAAGGUUUUUUUUUUUUUUUUCUUAAACAAAUAAAUAAAAAAAUAAAUACACCUAGCAAAACAGACGCCUUGUUUUCCAGACCCUCGGACCCCGGCAGAAAGAGAGUGAGUCAGAGAGAAAGCGUUAGGAAGAAGCCGCAACUAAUGUCUGUGAAGGGAGGACCAUGAGGCGAGAGUGAAUUCAAUUCGUUCCACUGCUUCUGACUCAUCGGGCAGAUCGGAACACCUGCAUUUCUGGAUGUGUCAUUCCCGUAUGUCGAGGCGCCUCGAGAACCCGAAAUAAUGUGUAGACAGACCUGUGCCUAACAUCCCCUCGGAGGUCGCUCUCGGGGGCGGGUGGGAGCCCCUGACUGGACCGCCGCGGCCGCAGCUCCUCACCCCUGCCCUCCUCGAGUCGCCCAGAGAGACUGUGUGAGAGCGAGACUGCAGAAUGCAUCACGCCAAACCUUGCUGUGUUUCUUUCAUCCAGCCCACUCCUACUAUUAAAAAAAAAAAAAAAAAAAAA